rnacentral:tRNA from 2 species
GUCCGUAUCGAUUAGGGGUUAAAUCACUUCGUUGUGGUUGCCAUGUGCACAAGCUCCGAAGAGCCGCUGGUUCGAUUCCAGCUACGGACA